GGAAAUUUCAUAGGUUUAACAAGACAGACAAUUUCAGUGUGUUGUCCUCACAAGUGUGUGGGGUAAGGAGGGAUGAGAAGAAAACAGUGGUGCAUAGGUCCAUGCUCUAAAUACUUCUGGAAGUCCACAGGGUGGAUUCAGACCUGAGGCACAAUGCCAGCUGGAUUUCCCAGGGCACUGAGCAUGGCAGGCCCCUCUCCCAGCUCUCCUUCCUCAAACCCACCGGUGGGAAGACCAGUGCUUGUCAGGAGCAGCAGUGACCUGAUGAGUCUCCUGUGUGAUGGGGGUCCAGAAGGGGUCUGGGAGUCCUCCCUGGGAUAGUUUUUAGAGGUGUACAAGCUGGUGGAUGUGUGUGUGUGCCUGUUGUUGCUUCUCUGCCUGACAGGCCUGCAGGCCCAAGUGCAGGCAGAAGUGUCUGCGCAGCACGGAGCUGCUAUGAGUCACCUGUCCCCAGCCAUAAGGUGUGAGGAAGCAGCAAAGGCACAGCUGGACACUGCUAUCUGCCACGGCCUCCACUCCAUGGGCACAUGGAGUGAGGAGCCCACACCAGACCUCAAUACAGGAGCCUUGUGACCAGGCAGCAGCAAUGGCCAAGACAGAGGCAGAGAAAACUGCUUCCAGAGUCUCCCUGCUGUCCAAGAUAACCUCCUCCUGCUUGUCCUCCCGGGAGCUGAGCAGAGGCACGUUUCAGAUAAUCAGCAAAGAAAACCUGCAUUUGACAUCAGCCAAAGGGGGAAAAAUGUUAAAAACCUCCUAUAAACCCUGGCAUGUACAAUCAGAAGAGGAGGCUUCACUUCACAAGGGAUGAAAAGAUACACUGGGUGAAGGCAUAGUUCACAAGGACUCUGACAAAGAAAGAGGGAAGGAAGGGAAGAGGGAGCAAGCAAGCUUUGGGAACAGAAGGCCAAACAAACUAUGAUCCUACAUGAGCUCGAGCUCCCACAGAUCCUGCUGCAGUCAGUAGUAGCUGACUGCAUCCCCCGGAGGCAAAUCUGGGGAGGAUGCCAUCAGUUGCCUUUUCUUUUCUUUACCGCAGGGGAAUGUUUUAUUUACACACCUACCCUGUCUGGUAGCUGUGCUGCAAGUGUCUGGGUGCAGCAAACAACUGCUCUGUGCUGGAGGGAAAAUUAAAAAAAAAAAAAAAAAAAGUGCCAGCUACCAAACCAAAAGGAUAACAUUAGUAAGAUGAAAUUGUAUACACCCUUAAAAAAAUUGCUGCACUGCCUGAGUUAAUAUCUAGUCUAUUCCUAUAAGGCAUCCACAGCUGUGUUGCUUCAGAUCAUUACUUCAAUACUAACACUGAACAAUAAUUAAAAGAAAUAAAAUCCAGA
rnacentral:lncRNA from 1 species